rnacentral:rRNA from 1 species
CGCUGAACUUAAGCAUAU